AUGCCACUGUACCUCAGUCUGAUGUCGGCACAGCACCAGAAUGCUAUCCAAGGCUGGAUCCCCAUCAUACAAAUUCUUGGUCCGCAAGACUGCACUGCCUAGUCCGUGCACGGGGUACUCAAGAUUUCAUGCCUCGUGUGUCUUUUGUUCUAUGCAAAUCUGUCCUUGCACAAACGUCGAAGAAAGUCCUGUGCAGCUUUGGCAGUGCUCUAUGCCGAAGGAGCGCUGAUGGCUGUAGCUCGUGCCCAAACGGAAGCUACUGUGGACAUCACCGAGAAAUCUCAACACCUGCGCAAACGGGCCACCAAAUGUUCCUGUUCUGCAACACGAUAUCUACGAUGCACACGACAUCUGUCCAACACUUUGUUGUGGUCAACAAACCACUGGCCAAAACUGUGCACUAGAUUUUGCAAUGUGAGCGUACUUGAGACGGCCCUGUAAGUAUUGUUUAUUUAUUUUUGUACACUAGCCAAUUGUCUUUUGUUCUACAGAAGGUGCAUGACCCUAUUGGAUGAGCUUUAGUGGAGUUUAGGGAGAUUUAGCUGGUGUCCUCUCUAUUCCCUCUCUCCACCCAUCAGGAGGUUGCUGGGAGUGUAGAUGUGUUUGUCAUUAAAGGGUGCGCGCCACAUUUGUGUGAUGCCCUUUCCUCCCUGUUUCGGGUUUUAUUCUCUGUUUUCAAGAAGAGAGCUCAAAAUAAUAUCUGGCAUGGGUGGAGAAUCAGCAUGUGGGAACAGGUUGGUACAUGUGCGUGUUCUUGAAGAAGCUCGACGACAAGAGCAAAAGACAAACAUAUGCGUUGGUGUUCGUUAUGUCCUUCGUCCGUGUCGUCGAGCUGCUUCACCCAACAUGCUAAUGCUUACAAAUUUUACUUUUAUGUACAAAUACAUACUAGUUAUUUAUUUGAACGCUUCUGUAUGUUCUCCGUUCAACACCUGCAGUCUCUUUAAAAAGUUCCAGCAGGACUUAGGUACGUCUCCAUCUUAUUAUCUGAGCAGAAACACCAGUAUAAUUACAGUCGUUAUGCAAAUGUAGCAUCAUGGAAGAAAGGCAGCCGGCAUUUCAGAUGAGAAAUGUGCAACCGCUAAAACAUUGUGAAUUUGCAGAAAUAAAAAGGUCUUUCUCUA